CAAGGCUGCCCUCACAUGCAACAUAACCUUUGCUCUGCACUCCUGUUGUCCAGCAGCCUCCUCCAUUCUACAAGGGGUUUUUUGUCUUUCCCAAUAUAUCACAAAUGGAGAUGAAGGAAGAGAGUGGUUGAAGAAAAGAAAGUGAAGUGGUACAGAAAAGGAAAAGUCAAGUGAUCAGCCUUUGGCUUAAAUCAUUCCAAUGGUUAACCAUGAACCUAGUUUUGUUCUGCUGCCCUGAGCACCAGAAGUUCCUGCAAAGUUCAUCAACUAGUUGGAACAUGCUCGCAGGUUUAUAGUCUUCAUCUGAGGAAUAGUAUGGGACUUUUGUGAAGAUUAUUUUGCAAAUAUGGGAUGUUUUAAUGUGAUAAUAAAAAUUGAGAUGGAAAUGAAAAUGUACUGACUGAGAGGGUUCAGAGUCUGUAGGAAAGUAUACCUCAUCUGCAUGUAUGUAUUUCUCUCUCUCUGAUUAAUAAUUCUUUCCUCAAGCUAAAAAACCUUUCCUUUGGAGUCUGGUAUGUAUGUUCUUGUUUUAAUAAAAGUACAAGAGGGAAAUAAACAUUGUACAAUGAAGUUUUGUAUAUUAUAAAAUUGGUGACAUGCUUUGGGUGACAUACUAACGAUCUUUGCUGUCAGUCUUAGGAUUCUCUUUCCAGUACAGAGGGCUAUGUGAUCUUCCUUGACCAUUUCCUUCAAAUUUGCUCCUUACUUAUUGCUGUCCUUGUCCUGAGUCUAUUUCUUCUCCAGCUCUUGACUAACAAGUGCAAGUGCUUUUGCUGCUUCUGUAGCUCUAAUGUUUUCUCAGCUUUGUCAGUCUCUCUCUUCUCCAUUCAGUACAAUUGUGCUUUCUUUUACAGAAAAUCCAUAUUUCCACAUCUCAAGUUUCUUAUCUCAGUGGUAGUUUUACUUACAGAAGAAUUUAUUCCUCUCUUCAAUCUCUCUCCAGGCUGUCUCUUCCUGCAAAGAAAUACGCAGUCUCAGUAUUCAUAUUAGAAUAAUCCAAACUUUUCAUCAUGUCCUUGCUUACUCCCUA